rnacentral:rRNA from 1 species
GACGAACGCUGGCGGCGUGCUUAACACAUGCCAGUCGAACGGAAAGGCACUGCUUUUGUGGGGUGAUCGAGUGGCGAUCGGGUGAGUAACACGUGAGUAACCUGCCCUUGACUUUGGGAUAACAUAAGGAAACUGGGGUUAAUACAGGAUAGGAGCUCAUGUUGCAUGGAGGGGGUUGGAAAGUUUCGGCGGUUGGGGAUGGACUCGCGGCUUAUCAGCUUGUUGGUGGGGUAGUGGCUUACCAAGGCUUUGACGGGUAGGCGGCCGGGGAGGGUGGCCGGCCACAUUGGGACUGAGAUACGGCCCAGACUCCUACGGUAGGCAGCAGGCGGGAAUAUUGCACAAUGGGCGGAAGCCUGAUGCAGCGACGCCGCGUGCGGGAUGACGGCCUUCGGGUUGUAAACCGCUUUCGCCUAUGACGAAGCUGUACUGACGGUAAUGGGUAAAGAAGCACCGGCUAACUACGUG